rnacentral:rRNA from 1 species
GACGAAGGGGGCUAGCGUUGUUCGGAAUUACUGGGCGUAAAGCGCGUGUAGGCGGUUGCCAUAGGCAGGGGGGAAAGCCUUGAGCUUAACUCAAGAAAUGCACUUGAUACUGGGCGACUAGAGGACCGGAGAGGAUAGUGGAAUUCCCAGUGUAGUGGUGAAAUACGUAGAGAUUGGGAAGAACACCAGUGGCGAAGGCGGCUAUCUGGACGGUUACUGACGCUAAGACGCGAAAGCGUGGGGAGCAAACAGG